UGAACUUCUAUCCUCAUCUCCAACUCAGACUUUGUUUCUGAACUCUGGGACUUUUCUUCCUUACCCACAAGUUGCUCAUAUACAUAUAUGGCUCACGCCCAACUCCAGAAACUCAAACUGAACUCUUCCUCUACUGCAUCAAGUUUCUCUCACCUUUCUCUGGUCAUCACUGUGUUAAAACUGGCCCCAUUCACCAUUCACAAAAACUGUUUUCUAUCAUCCUGUGUUUUUCUUUCUUCUUUAGUCUUUUGCUGUAUACAUGUGAUCACUAAUAAAUCCUCUCAGUUUUACCUUUAUAUCUUGAAUCUUCUUCCUCCUCUUCCAACGGCUGGAGAAAACCAGCUAGUAGGGCUACUGAACCUGUGAACUGGACCUAUAAAGAGAAGCCAACUAACAAGGACAAAAAGCAGGAUGCAGUAACGAAGAGUUUGGUUUGACUCUGCUCUCACCACUCAGCAGUGGAGGUCUACUACCUGAGACUACCUGAGUUUCCUUCAAGCCCUGGUUCAGUGUAUAUGUUGCAAUGCUCAAGGGUUCGGGUUCAAGUCCCUGGUCCCUACCUGCAAGGGGGAAGUUUCACAAACAGUGAAGCAGCACUACAGGCAUUGGAGAAUGAAGGAGACACAGACUUGGGACUUUUGGAGUCAUGACCAUAGAGUAGCAGCAGCUUCAAAGUUGUUCCCCUAGCAACUACUUGGAAUAUCUCUAAACUAUACCAGGAAUUCUAAAGAAAUUCAUUGAUCCGGGAGCACAUAAUUGGUCUGGUAACACAUCAUGGUGCCCCCCUUUCCCUCCCUACAAAGAUGUCUACAAUCAAGAUAACCCAGAAAUGCAGCUACAGCACCACCUGCCCACUCAACUGCAGAGGCCAUGUAAUCUAGACAUAUUCAGAUGGCGGCUAUGACAGAAAAAGAUCAGAUGUACAGAGGUACCAUUUUCCCUAAUAUAGUCUUCAUCAGGCAAAACCCUCCACCACCUGUUCAUACCUUUAUCUUCUAUCGACAUCUACCAUAAUUAAUAAUAGACUUGGAUGGAUGCUGACAGAACUGACAUCUUAUUAGGGUUGUUGAUGAGACAGACUUUUUCUGAUUACUAAACAUUGUGCCAGACACAUCCAGCAGAAACCUCCAUUAGUGGCUGUACACAUUAUAUUGAAAGAAUCUUAUUGUUGACCUGCUUCUCAUACCCUGUUUUGAUUGUAGCUGGCAUGUUUUGUCAUUAUUUGUGUUUCUAGAAAUUGCAGCAGUGUUGGACUUGAAUGAACUCAGGAUUGCACCAAAGCCAUAAGCACAGAAACAACUGCUUUUUCUAGUCACUCUCCAUACCAACUGGAAGACAGUAUGAAAAAGGGAGAAAUGGAAAGAGAAAGAUUUCGGUUGGACAAGUCUAGGUCUAUCAACCAAUUAUUAAAUGCUUGUGGGUUUUUAUUUUUUACUGUGCUUCAUUAGAGCAGUGGAGAUUUAAUGAGACAAUAACAGAGUUAUCUCAACUACUCCCUGAAGCUUUUAAAUUCAUUUGUACACAGACAAUUUCUUCAUGUAUCUAUUUAUUUGACAUCUCUGUUGGAUUCUAAGCAAUCCGGAUGUCCUGGAAUGGAUGACUAAGAGGCUAAUUUAAUAUAAUUUAGUUAAGAGUGAAUCAUAUAUAUAUGAGAGAGAGAGAGAGGCAGAGACCACCUCACUAAAGCUUCCCUCAAUUGGAGUGACAGUGAAGUGGAGGUGGGGUUUGGGUGAGAGCCUGCAUUGCUCACAAAGCAAAGAAAAACAGCACACUAUAUAAGUUUUCUCUCUGACCUGAGUGAGUUGAUGCUGAGUCAAUAUCUGCACUGUCUGCUACCCCUCCUUAUGUGCCAAGUUUGUGUCUUUUCUGUCAUGCCCACCUAGUGAGAUAUGCCACCUGCCCCAUUGACAAGACAGAAACACUAAAGUCCUCCCUGCUGUCUCCUUACUCCUUUCCUCAUACAUUGAUAACUGUAACCAUCCCUCUGGACUCAGUCCUUCACCUUUUUGCUCAGAAUUUCCUCUUUUCUGGUACAGACGUCUUUCCCUGACUAGCUCCCCUUCUUGUAAUGUGAGUGAAGUACAGUCUCUAUAACUUAAAUAUGCUUAAAAUUAGUUGCU